GGCUCAGAGUCCAGAUGGUUGCUCUGUGGCAACGGCAGCUGGCGAUGAAACACUUAAAUUCUGGAAUGUUUUUGGGAUUCCAGAAGUGGCUAAACCUACUCCAAAAGCAAAUCCUGAGCCGUUUUCCCACCUGGCUCGCAUCCGAUGAUGAGGAUCAUGAGGAUAGAAGCUGGAUUCAUCAGAGUCUUGAGUCUCAAUACACCCUUGUUUUGUGUCUAGUGAUUCAGACAAGAACCAAACAAUGCACAGUCAGUUUCUUUUAGAAUCAAAUAAUUGCCGAGGCUAAAAUAGAAGUUUAAUAUCUUGCCUGUGUCUUCCAUUUCAACAAUUCGGUCUCAGGACAAGGCAGAAAGGUCUCAAAUCUCACCAUGUAGACGGGAUUGUAACAUGUAAAGUAACAUUGAAGAACCCUCGAACUUCAAUUUGGGUUUUGGGCAAGAGUGUAUGUACCAAGAAUACCUUGGUCUUUUGAUUUUUUUUCCCCCUAAAAUGGAUCAGUCGCAGAAAGAAAAUGAAGCAGCACCAAGCCAAACAUGUUAAAUUAGGUUCUAUAAUUUAAUUUUGUUAUCAAUCUGCAUUGUUAAUAAUGGUUGGAAGCGUUCCAACAAUAGUGUUAAGAGGAUAAUGGUACCUGAUCCAACAGCUAAAGAACGUUAGUGAUAAUAAAAUAAACAGAUGAUAAGUAGUGAGAACAUUGUUACAAGAAAAGCAUGUUAGUGUAUAACAACAAAAAUUUUAUGAAAUGUGAUGUCAUGAGCCAACCAAGGCCAUUCUUGGCUGCUAAACAUUUUAGUUGUGAAAAUGAUUUAGGUGCUGUUGAACAUAAU
rnacentral:misc_RNA from 1 species